rnacentral:rRNA from 1 species
GGGUUGUGAGGUUAAGCGACUAAGCGUACACGGUGGAUGCCCUGGCAGUCAGAGGCGAUGAAGGGCGUGCUAAUCUGCGAUAAGCGCCGGUAAGGUGAUAUGAACCGUUAUAACCGGCGAUACCCGAAUGGGGAAACCCAGUGUGACUCGUCACACUAUCAUUAACUGAAUCCAUAGGUUAAUGAGGCGAACCGGGGGAACUGAAACAUCUAAGUACCCCGAGGAAAAGAAAUCAACCGAGAUUCCCCCAGUAGCGGCGAGCGAACGGGGAGGAGCCCAGAGCCUGAAUCAGCAUGUGUGUUAGUGGAAGCGUCUGGAAAGGCGCGCGAUACAGGGUGACAGCCCCGUACACAAAAGCGCAUGUGCUGUGAGCUCGAUGAGUAGGGCGGGACACGUGGUAUCCUGUCUGAAUAUGGGGGGACCAUCCUCCAAGGCUAAAUACUCCUGACUGACCGAUAGUGAACCAGUACCGUGAGGGAAAGGCGAAAAGAACCCCGGCGAGGGGAGUGAAAAAGAACCUGAAACCGUGUACGUACAAGCAGUGGGAGCCCCACCACUAAGCCAGUGGUGAACUCCACAUACGCAUCCUUUGCUGAGGAUACGGUUAACGGAGCGAAAGCGACGUUCAACCUCAAAAGAAGCAGAGGGGGCUUAGUGGUGGGGUGACUGCGUACCUUUUGUAUAAUGGGUCAGCGACUUAUAUUCUGUAGCAAGGUUAACCGCAUAGGGGAGCCGGAGGGAAACCGAGUCUUAAUUGGGCGUUAAGUUGCAGGGUAUAGACCCGAAACCCGGUGAUCUAGCCAUGGGCAGGUUGAAGGUUGGGUAACACUAACUGGAGGACCGAACCGACUAAUGUUGAAAAAUUAGCGGAUGACCUGUGGCUGGGGGUGAAAGGCCAAUCAAACCGGGAGAUAGCUGGUUCUCCCCGAAAGCUAUUUAGGUAGCGCCUCGUGAAUUCAUCUCCGGGGGUAGAGCACUGUUUCGGCUAGGGGGCCAUCCCGGCUUACCAACCCGAUGCAAACUGCGAAUACCGGAGAAUGUUAUCACGGGAGACACACGGCGGGUGCUAACGUCCGUCGUGAAGAGGGAAACAACCCAGACCGCCAGCUAAGGUCCCAAAGUCAUGGUUAAGUGGGAAACGAUGUGGGAAGGCCCAGACAGCCAGGAUGUUGGCUUAGAAGCAGCCAUCAUUUAAAGAAAGCGUAAUAGCUCACUGGUCGAGUCGGCCUGCGCGGAAGAUGUAACGGGGCUAAACCAUGCACCGAAGCUGCGGCAGCGAACGUAUCACCCAAGACAACUUUACGGAGUUGACGAUUGACGGAGCGAAGCGACGUCAAAGCGUUCAUUAAAGUCGAGUUGGCUUAGGGAUACGUUCGUUGGGUAGGGGAGCGUUCUGUAAGCCUGUGAAGGUGGCCUGUGAGGGUUGCUGGAGGUAUCAGAAGUGCGAAUGCUGACAUAAGUAACGAUAAAGCGGGUGAAAAGCCCGCUCGCCGGAAGACCAAGGGUUCCUGUCCAACGUUAAUCGGGGCAGG